rnacentral:lncRNA from 1 species
AAAUAACAAUAAAGAGAACAGAUAAAACGAAAAGAAAAACAACCUUCAACUCUUCACUUUCCAAAAAGCUACUAGCAAGUAACAAAAUGUUGUCUCCCAUCCUCUGCUAAGAAACAAAUCUGCAAGGGAAGCCUAAAUUAACGAUUCCAAACGUCAACCCAACAACGGAUCGGAUCUCCGUCGAUCAUCAUCAGCAAACUUCUUCAAUCAAACAAGUAAAUUAUCCCACCAAGUAGUGUUUCCGGGCAAAAAUCGACAUUCCUGGGCAAUUUGGUGGGCAAGUUGAUUCCUUAUUCUUAGAAUAAACUUAAAUUUACAAUUAUCCAACGAUUUUGCUAUUUGUUUCCCCUCAACAAUAACUGAUCUAUGGACUGACCUAUCGUAUGUUGUGGCUUUCAUUCUUUUGAUGACGGUUUUUGAGUCUCCUUCAACCUCGAGACUGCGAACUCCAACAAGAUAGAAAGAGUUAUCACAUGCUUGCAUACAAUGGCUUCUGCAAAAAAUAGGUCAGUAAUGUUAGAAUUUCUUAUCACUCUGGCCUUUAUUACAACCCCAUCUUCUUUUAUCACAACUAUGCCUAAAAUUGAAUGUUGGCUACAGAAUCGUAAGACGCGUCAAAUUUAGCACGAACCCAUGACCUCUCUAAUAGUUUCCAAAUAGUCAGUUGUUGGUCGUCAUUCCUAGCUCCAACAGUGUUAUGAAUUUUAAAUUCCUCUUAAAAAUGCCUAAUCUAUGUGACCACAUCAGGAGUAUUCUGAGCAACUUUAUCAUGAACCAAUUUGUUUCUAGAAAACCAAAUAGCUCAGAUUGUAAUAAGUGUUAGCUAACGAUUCAAACUAUUCAUGAUUUUGAACAAACUUAUAAACCAAGACUUAAAGUUUUCAUUGUCUCUCAUUGCAGGUCUAUUCAACCCUCAAAGCAUCCUAUAUUUAAUUACCCCUGGGACAGUCACAAAUAAUAGGCCUGUUUGUUUCAACACCGGCCUCACAUCACAAGCAAAUUGUUGUGUCCCUGAGCCUUUUAAUCCACAAAUUAUGAUAGCUAGGAAUAUAGUUGUUAAAAAUCUCCAGUUUAUAAUCUUUACUUUUGAAGGAACUGUAGUGUCCCAUAAGGCUUUAUAGAUAGGUCUAUUAAGAUUGUUACUUCCGAAGCGAAGUUUCUAUAAUUCUUUGUAACCACUUCGAACUAAGUACUCCCUUGUUGGCUCACCUGACCAUGUCAUCCGUCUCUUCAAUUUCAGUUCAAGGAAUUGAGAUGUUGAUGAUAUGCAAGGCAUCAGCAUCACAAAAAAUCUCCCUAAUUAGAGGUACAUUCUAUUGCUUUGUAUCUUGCACAAAGAGAUCAUUUACCAGCAUAAUGUCCUAAUUAAGACAAGGAGUACUAACCAUAUUAUGACCUUCUCCAGAUAGCUAAUUAUCUUCCCAGAUCUGAAUUUGGCUACCAUUACCAAUCUGCCAUUUUGUCCCACUUUUCAACAACCCUCUCGUGGUACAAAUACUAUGCCAAGGUAGUGAAGGGUAAUGACCCAAUCUAGCUUCCAUAAAAGUGGUGUUAGGAUAAUACUUGGCCUUUAAAACAUAUGAAAGUAAUAAACCCUGAUUAGCAAAUAAUCGUCAGCCCCAACGAUCUAGUAAAGCAAUAUUGAACUGACUCAAGCUUCUAAAUCCCAAACCCCUAUUUUUCUUAAGGUCACAAAGGGUAUCCCAAGAACACCAAUGAAUGUCCCUUUCACCAUGUCCUUUUUGCCCCCAAUAUUUUCUAAUAAUAGCUCCCAUCUCCUUACAAAAGGAAUUAGGUAGCAAGAAACAACCAUAGUAUAUGUGAAAAUUACUUUUAAAAUAGACUUAAUAAAAAUUUCUUUCUCAUCCUGUGAUAAUAAGCGAGUACUCUAGUUAUUAAUCCUUAAACGCAAUUGAUCUUUGAGCUUCUAAAACAUCAAUUUCUAAUCACAUCCCACCAUAGUUGGUAAACCCAGAUAGAGCUCAAGAUUACUUGUUACCCUUAUAUCCAAAAUAUUAGUAAUAUGGCCCUACAUAGAAUCCCCAACGUUGCCACUAAAAUAUAUGAGAUAUUUUUC